rnacentral:rRNA from 1 species
GCUUACGGCCACACUCCCUGAGCACGCCCGAUCUCGUCUGAUCUCGGAAGCUAAGCAGGUCGGGCCCGGUUAGUACUUGGAUGGGAGACCGCCUGGGAAUACCAGGUGCGUAAGCC